GGAUAAAAGUAAAUCAGAACAAAAGUUAGCACUAUAACACAUUGUUAGUAAAACGCGUAACUAGUUCUUGUGUUUUAAACCUUGCGUAUCUAAAACGCAAUGGUACGUAGGAAGCUAGCAGCAGAUUCAUUUCGGCCGACAGAUUCGCACUUACUAAUGGACGUAGAAGGGGGCCGAUAGGUACGUUAAUAAAAAUCUACAGUUCCAGCAGCAACAACAUAAACAAACGGCUUUUGAGGACUAAAAGCAACUUCUGGUACAGGUCCUUAAAUUCUUGCCUGGCUGCCAAACUUCUCGGCACAGCAGUGAUUCAUACUCACCAUCUCCCCUCGACUUUAGAAAACCAAAACACUUCAUUUUCGUCAAGCAGAAGACACCGGCUGACACAUGGCCCCUGUGCAGAGAAGACCCCUGAGCUGUCAACACCCAUGUUUUAUCAACCGCAUAACUUUAAACCACCUCAGAACAAUGGCUCAAAAUUAGACUACAGAAAAAUACCUUGAGUCAAUAUUGCGAUGCGAGCGGGAGGAGGGAAAAAGAGCAGCAAAAUAUCAAAAUGAUUUCCGCUGACCUGCGAUAUGUAUCCAGAACUCUGACAUCUCAGACUAUUAAUUUACACACAGAGAUAAAGCAUGCAAAGGUUAA